CAGCUCAGAUGCUGGUGCCAGGGGCUGUCGCGCGAUGUCCCCCCGUGCCACAGCCCUGAGCUGCUCCUCGAGUUAAUUUGUAAAACCGAUUCCUUGCCAGGAGCUCAAGUCCUCCAUAGAGACAUUCAAGAGGGUAUCUCCCAGAGGACAGCUCCACGCCACUCAGAGCAGCUCUCUGGUUACUUAAGUGCCCGUGUAGACAAUGGCUGCUGGGGCUUCUUGCACAGUCAUUUUCCAUCUGACCUUGAACCACUGGAGAAGCAAUAAACGUCCGUAAGAGGAAGGGUAACGCGGCGCGGCCGUAACGUUCAUAAAGCAACUUGCUGCUCGAGUGUCAAACGAGCCCCGGUGAAAUUGCGUGAGCGAGAAGCGUCAGGCCCGGACCCCACCGCAGGAGGAGAAUAAGCACAAAAACAUGUUGCUUGAGACGUCCGUGGCAGAGCCGGCACAUGAUGCUCUGAGGCCAUUUGGCACCGGCGAGCAUUGUUUUAUUGAGUGCAAUUACAUAUUUUUGUUUAGAGAAAGAUUCUCCUUCAAAAGCAGCUCCGAAGCCUUUGCUUAUUCAGCCUUCAUAAAAAGCCUCUCGCUGCAGACACAGUCAAGUGUUGACUCCUGUACUCAUUUUCUAUUGCUGCCUUAUCUUUGGCAUCUCAUCUGCAACUUUUACUGUUUUUUUCCACUGGUUUCAUCAGAGUGCAGUAGAAGUGGAUGUUUUUUGGGCUUCAAUUCUGCUAAUGAUUUUUGAUCUGCUCGGCGCAGGCUAGGAAAAUCUAGCCGUGAUUAUAAAAUUGCAAGCUAAGUAGGCUAACAAAACAGCAACAGCAAGAAACUGGAUCAGCU